UGUAGGGAGGAUGAACUGGUGGAGAGUGGUAAACUGGUUUUGGAGUGUAAGGAGGGUGAACUGGUGGUGGAGGGGAUGAGUAUUUGUAUGGCUUCUUUGGUGGUGGUGGAGAGUGGUAGUAGGGCUUAGGGCUGACGUGAUGCACUGGUGGAGGAGGAGAGGAAUAUUUGUAUGGCUUCUUUGGUGGUGGUGGGGAAUGGUAGUAAGGUUUAGGGCUUAACAUGCACUGGUGGUGGAGGAGAAGAAUAUUUGUAUGGUUUCUUUGGGGGUGGUGGAGAAUGGUAGUAAGGUUUAGGGUGGACAUAUGGUGGAGGAGGAGAAGAAUACUUGUAAGGUUUCUUUGGUGGUGGUGGUGGUGAACUGUAAUGGUAGGGAGGAGGAGGUGUAUAAACGGUGGGGGUGGAGAGUGGUAGUAGUAUGGUUUCUUAGGUGGUGAGUACACUGGUGGUGGUGGUGAAGAGUAAUGGUAAGGUGGUUUAACUGGAGGGUACACCCCCGGUGGUGGGGAAUGUGGAGGGUACACCUUAGGUGGUGGUGGAGAACUAUAAUGGUAAGGUGGUGAGACUGGUGGAUACACCUCAGGUGGUGGUGAAUGUGGAGGGUAUUUCUUAGGUGGUGGUGGGGAAGAGUAAUGGUAAGGUGGUUUAACUGGUGGGUACACCUUGGGUGGUGGUGAAUGUGGAGGGUACACCUUAGGAGGUGGUGGUGAAGAGUAAUGGUAAGGUGGUGAAACUGGAGGAUACACCUUAGGUGGUGGUGAAUGAGGAGGAUACUUCUUAGGUGGUGGUGGUGAAGAGUAAUGGUAAGGUGGUGAAACUGGAGGGUACACCUUAGGUGGUGGUGAAUGUGGAGGGUACACCUUAGGUGGUGGUGGUGAAGGGUAGUGGUAAGGUGGGGAAACUGGAGGGUAGACCUUAGAAGGUGGAGGAGGUGAAGAAUACAAGUAGCUGUUUGCUGAAAUUUGAGAUGUAUGGAGAGAGACACUAUUAUGGCUAAUAGAAGAGUCAAAGUGGCAGAGGCCAUUGGAGACCUCAUUUUUUUUUUUUUGUUCUCUUGUUGCCUUAACCUCACUAGAUAGUGGGAUUUUGAUAUGCUAUAAUGUAACCAAGUGAUGCCCUUUAUAUAGAUCUUUUAUUUACCUACUAGUACUAAUCAUGUUGGUUGGUAACUUUGUUUUCAACUUGUCAAAAUUUUGUUGCCAAUAAGGCGUUGCCGUAUCUUUUUUUAAUUAAAAGUCAAUAAUAUUCAAACACAAGUUUUCAUUAAACAAAAACUAACUUACUUUUCUGAAUAGGUUGAUUUAAUUGGAAAAAAGGGAGGAUAAUUUAUACAAAAAGAGAAGUUGUAUUCCCUAUAUUCGGUAUCAUAAAAAGAAGAGAAACAAUUAUUAAAGCAAAUUUUGGUUAUUUUAUUUUAAUCAAUUUUUUAAAAUUAUUAAAAUGGACAGUGUUUAAUUAAACCAUUUUUUACCUCAAUAUCCCAAGUGAGCUUUGGAGUGCGUAUUUGGAUUUGAUGUAGGCUGCAAGCUUUUAGCAGGAAAUAAAAUAUCUUGAAAUAUCUCAAAAUAAAACAAAAUGGACAGAAAUCCGUAAGUGUAGUUCAGUUGAUAGCUACCAGAGAUAAUGUUUAUAAGGGUUGGGGUUCAAAUCCCAAAUUCCCCACACUAGACUAUUGAAAAAAAAAAAAAAAAAAAAGACAGAAAAUAUAAAAUGUGUUAAAUUGAUGUAGAUUAUUGGAGGUGUUAAAAAAUCAUCAUUGUAUUCUAAUGCCUAAUUUAUCUUCUCCACAUAUCUUUUACUGUUCUUGAAAAAUGCAUGCAUAGAGACCUAACUUCGUGCUAUAUUCGUCUGUCCCUUGAAGACUUUUCAAAAAGACUCGUACACCAGGGCCCAUAUGCAUGGCAUAGCAGCCUCAAUUAUAGGACGAUAAUUUUACGUGAAAUUUUUAUUAUUACUUUAUACAAAUAUUUAUUUAUUUAUUAAAAUUUUACAUAUUUACUUUUUUAAAGUAUAGACAGAAAUUUUUUCAUUUAAGUAAAAUUAAUUUCGAUGUUAUUAAUUCAUUUCCUUUCAUCCUAUCAAAUUAAUGAAUACUAUCCUUGUUGGUAGGCAGAGUCUAGAAUAUUCUAGAUUAGUAUAUACACUUCUAGCUACCUAUCACAAAUUUUGCAUGCAUUUAAAUGAUUUAUCAUGGCAUCGUCUCAGGCUUGGUCCUUUUCAGAUAAAGACAAAAGUUAUGUCUCUGUUUACUUUUAAGCCAAAGUUUUUUUUUACUCUUGUGUAAAGUAAAGUAUAUGACUUUUGAUAUACGGAUAGGAUUCUGGGUUCAAUUGGAUAUAAUUUACCCCGAGGUAUAUAACUAUUUUCUUAUAUUGUUGUUGCUUUUCUAAAACUAUCAAUAAUGAAAGAGAAAUGAUAUUUGUACAACCAUUUUUUAUAAUUUUUAGAUAAAAAUUUCUCUUUCAUAUUCACAUUAUAUUCUUACCCUCUCUCUUCCUUUUUCUCUCUCCUUUGUUUUUAACCAAUGAAAAAAGAGAAAAAGAAGGUUGUCAAAAAGGUUGUACCAAAUGGUUGUUCAAAUAUCAUUGCUCUAAUGGAAAGGUCUUAAUAUCAUCUUUAUUUAGUCUCGUUUUGGAAAAGUGAUUUAAAAUCUGAUCCGAUCAUAACGAUUUUUACAUAAUAACAUAGAAACGCAUAAAAAAAAUAUUCGAUUUUUUAUGAUUUUUUUGUUUUUUGAUCGAUUUGCAGUUUUAUUUUGAAUCGGCUUGUAUUUGAACACCCCUACUUCUUACUCAUCCACACAAGGUAACUCGAAUCAAGGUUGAGAAGAAUAAUUAUUUGUUGAAUCUACCAUUUGUGGUGGACUAAUCUUUUAAAUUUCUCGUAAUAGUUCUUUUUACUUUCAUUCAGGUAUUCCUUAUCUGUUUCUGAUGUAACUUGAUUUUUCUCUUUGCUUCUCUCUAGUAUACUUUGUGUAGGGCAAGAAGUAAAGAGGUUUAGUUAUGGAAAUUCCAUAUUAGCUUUUUUAAAAUAAAAAAAAAUAGAACAAUUUGUUUCACCAUUUAAUUUUUAUAAUUAUAUUAUAAAUAGAGAGAUUAAAGUAAAGUUGACUAAAAAAUUCGAGUAGCUAAUAAGCUCGUACUUCCUCUAAUUCUUAUUAUACGAGAAAAUUUGUUUUUCAGAUUCAUUCACUAAAUAAUGUACCAUGUUUCUAAUAUAAAAUAAAUACAUCAUUUAUUGAAUCUAAAAAAUCAACUUUCUUUGAUAAUUGAGACCCAGGGUAGAACAUGGCAAGGGUUGAUUAUAGAAAAAUGCUAAAGAGUGUCUACACUUAAAAUGGUAAGAAAUUUUGAAAAUCUAUAUAACUAUUGCAUUAGAAAUAAAACUCUUUGACUUUUUAAUGAAUUUCUAAAUUAUAAAUUAUUAAAAAAUGUCAUAGAGACACUUGUUAGCGAUAUGAUCUGUUAUACUCUAUAGGUCGCGUCCUUUUUUUUUUUUUUGACAAGUGGGUCGCGUACCUAUUCUUAAUCAAUCAAAAAUAUGUUGGAUAACAUAUUUAAUUCACCGUUGAACAAGAAUAAUGUUUUUUUAUUUAUUGUAUCAAAGAAUAAUGUAUUUUAUUCACCGUACUAAUAUUAUAAAAAAAAAUAAAAAAAAUCGACCGUCGUUCUUUUAAUUUUUCUGUCCUAAAAAAAUACUCAGUUUAAACGAGCAAGCAUAUAUUUUCAAUAUCUAAUUUUUUUCUCAAUUUAUAUUCCACUCAUAUCAUAUCAUAUAAUAUACUUAUUUUUGGUCAAAAAAAAUAUAAUAUACUUAUUUAUAACAUUAAUCACAUCGUUGACUUAUUUCUUUCUCUUUCAAGAUACUGAGGAGAUUUUCUUUAUAAAAAAAAAAAAAAAAAAAUCCAUAUUGAGGAGAUGUAUGCAUAUGUACACAAAUCAUUAAAAGUGUAAUUGAGUUGUGUAAAACACAAAAAACUGCAGAGAUGGGAACAAAUAAAUUAAUAGAAACGGCAGCUUAGUUCAUGCUCUUACAUCAGUAAAAAAUUAGGUGGGAGUUAUUAUUUUUCCACAGAUUAGCAUAUAUAUACCCCACAGGUCCAUAUCAUUUUUCCCCUUAAAAAAAGUCCAUGUUACUUUUGUUUCAAUGUAUCCAAACUAGGAAAAGUCCGGAAAAUUAGAUUUUACCUAGGCAACAACACAUCACCAUUAAUUAUUUUUUCCAUUUUUUUAGUUUUCCAUGUUUUAAGAUUUUUUAUCUUUACUAAAAGAAUCAAUAAAUUCUAAUAUCUAUCUCAUUACACCUAUUUUUUUGUUACAUGAGAUAAAAAAGAACAAAGACACAAAAAAAUGAAAAGAAAAAAAUUAUGCCCUAAUAAAGUACACAUCAACCUUAUCCCCGUGAGCUUAACUCAGUUGGUAGGGAUAUUGCAUAUUAUAUGCAAGGGCCGGGGUUCGAACCCCGGACACCCCACUUCUCCACAAUUAAAUUGUGUGAACUCUAGCCACUAGACUACUUGACCAAAAAAAAAGUACACAUCAACCGUGUCAAGUAAUAAAUUAAGCCCUAAUAAGAAGAAAAAAAAAACAAAAAAUUAAGCCCUAAUAAAUUCCAAUAUCUCAUCACAACUAUUUUUUACGAGGGAAACAUGUCUAAUGUAGAUAAAAUAUAAUUGGUGCAAGUUUGUGAAUUUAGAUUAUGUUUUUUAAGAAGGUAAACUAAAUUAUCAAAAUUGACAUAAAAGAUAAUCAAACAUGAGACUCGAAAUAUACUUUCACAGUUUUUAAAAUUUCAAUUCAAAUUUAGAUUAUAUUCGAUUACAUCUAGAUCACAAAAGUAUAAAUUGAAAAAAUAUAAAAAAAAAAAAAAAAAAACUUUCUAAGAGCAUUACAACUUUAAUGUUAGAGGUGGCCUUUAAUUUGUUUAACCGUGUGUAGUUUUUGUUUUGUUUCGUUUUUGUUUGUUUUUCAUCCUUUUAUUUUGGGUUAGAUUUUUCUUCUCCUUGUAUUUUUUUUUUCUCAUUUAUUUUGAUAUAUUUUAAAAUUAUAAAGAACAACAGCAAUAAUAAUAAAUUAAUUGCCCUUAAAACAUUUUAAAACCGUCACUAGCAAGUUAAGGGAAGUCACCAACCACACAAUAAUGACCCUUAGGAUAGUUUAUUGAUUUAAGUCAUCAGAAGUAAGAAGAAAGAAGAAAGGGAAGGCACCAACCCAAACAAUGAUAUUCGAUGAUCAUGACUAAAAAAGGUUUAACUUUCAUAUCCAACCCCUGCAUAUGCAUAUGCUUGACUUUAAUAUUGGGAUAUGAUCCAAUAUUUUGCAUCAUGCAUAAGUUAUUUUUUUCAUCGUUAGAUAAAAAAAAUGUCACACCAUUGCACCAAAAAAAAUCACAUUAAAUUUAAGGGUUAAAUAUGUUAUUGGUCCCUAUAAAUAUACCAAUUUUUCGUUUUAGUCUCUCUAAAAUUUUCCUUCAACUUUUAGUCCCUAAAAAAUUUUCCAUCUUCACUUUUGGUCCUUCUUUUAAAGUAAACUCAUAUGUAGAAUUCAUAUUUUUGAAUCAAAUUUUUCAGAAAAAUUCAUAAUAUUAUAAGAAUCUCUCCCAAAAAAAUUAGAACUUUUUAACAAAACAUGAAUUUAAUAUGAAUUUUUAUAUUAUUUAUGGUUAAAAAUUCAUAUAUAAUUUAUGUUUACUUAAAAAAUUCUAAUUUUUUUUUUGAAAUGUUUUUACAAUAUUCUACACAUUUGUGUACAAUUUCAUUAAAAAAAAAAUACUAAAAUUUACUUUGAAAUAGGGACCAAAAGUAGUGACUCAAAAUUUUACAGGGACUAAAAGUUGAAGGAAAAUUUAAGAGGGACUAAAACGAAAAGUUGCUAUAUUUAUAGGGACCAAAAACAUAUUUAACCCUAAAUUUAAUAGUAAAAUAUAUUGAUCCGAUAAUAAAAACUAAUUUAUGUAUGUUGUAAAAUUUGUUUCAUUUAUAUACAGUAGGAUUGACAUAUCAUUUGCUAGAGUAAUGUUUCUUGGACACCUUAUAUAUGUAUGGCACACUUAUUUUACACUAAAAAAUAAAAUAUUUAAUAUAUAAAAACUGUUUUUUUUUCCUUCGAAAUGAUAAAAAUUGUUUAUUUUUUAUAAUAAUAUCACUUAUGGUGGAAGACGGCCGAAAACAUGCCAUAACAUAGAGCUCCAUCGACCAUCGAAACUUCACCAUCGAUCAUCGUUGAGUCACUAAAGCUCUUCCACCGACCACCUUGGAUCGUUAGAACUCCACACCAUCGGCCAGCCACCAUCAAUAUUGAGGUGUCAAACAAGUGUCCCUAUAUAUGAACCGUUUACAAAGGAAGAAACAUAACAAUGUAAAGGGUUAGAAAAUGCUUUGGAAGAGAAGAUAACAAAAACAAAACAUAGAGGAAGAAAGCAGAGUAUCUGAAAGAGAUGAGCACAUGAUCUGCGACGACAACAGAGGAAGAGAUGAAGAGCUCGUGUGAGAAGAUAAAGAGUUUGAAAAAUUUAGGGUGUAUAUUAAAACAAAAAGUUGAAAUAUUUAUAGAGACUAAAAACAUAUUUAAUCAACAAAAGUUUAUAAAGAGUUGCAUUGCACCCUUCAUCUUACAAACCGAUUUUAUGUGGUUGAGUUGCACUCAAUAUAAAAACCUAAUAUGGUAAUCGUUUGGGACCAUCUAUCAUUUAUAUCCACGCAUCAAACUCAAUAAUGUCAGGUGUGAUUUUAUAUUUUAUAAAGAGCGACUUCCAUCACCAUACAUAUCAGUUUUGUAAGAAUGCCGACUGAACAUAAAAACCUAAUAUCUAGUUACAUAUUUCAUUAAAAUAACACAUUUUGCACAUAUCACACAUCCAUUAUUUAUCCAAAAAAAAAAUCACACAUCCAUUAUACUUUUGCGCUUAAACCAUUAUAUUUUACAACUAAAUUAUAUAUUUUAUCUGUCUCAUUAUAAAUGUAUUAUUCGUUUUUUAUGUCUCAAAACUUUAAAAUAUCAAUAAACAAUUGAUUUACUUUUUAUUAGCCUAAAAAAAGUAAAAUUAAUAAGCUUUUGUAAUAAUGAAAUUCUCUUUUAUCAUUAAAAUUAACCCAACUAAUUAUUUACUUAAAAGUCGCGCCCAAAUCAAAACUCUUAUACUGGGAUAUCUUCAUCUUUGUUUUGGCCUAAAAUUUGGAGCAGCAAAUACUUCAUUUUAUGUUUUAUUUAAAUGGACAUAUUGGAUAAAUUACAGGCCGUGAAAUAUCAUGUCACAUACUUUUAUUUUCUUACAUACACCAUAUUAGUCAUUCAAAGUUCGUAUGAAUCUGCAAAAUCUAGUUUAAUUGUCAAUGUUGAUAUUGUUGGACUAGACAUAAUCAUUCGGAUUCUAAUAUGAUAUCUCAUAGUUGUGUUGUAUAUGAAUUUAUUUAUGUUGAUGUUUUUCAAUUUGUGUACAAAAAAGAAAAUGGAGGAGUUCUUUAGAAUAGUAAGAUAGGUUUAUAUAUAUGAAAGUAGCAUGUGAUUUUUUUUACUAUAUAGUACUUUUUUUAACUAUACAAUACUUGUAAGUUAAGGAAUCAAUCAUGCAAAUUAAAAUUAUAAUAUGAAUAUGUAAUUUAUAAUGAUUGUGUAUAAAUCAAUUAACAGAGAAAGCAGAAGACUUGUCAAAAAAAAAAAAAAGAGAGAGAAAGCAGAAGAUAUAAUAUGAAUAUGUAAGUUAUAAUGAUCGUAUAUAAAUCAAUUAACAGAGUGAAAGCACAAGAUAUGGACCUAAGAUCCUAUGGAAAAAUAAAAUAAAAAAAGAAAAAGAAGAAGAGACGAUUUAAUUUGAUAGCUAUACCAGCCCCAAAAGCAUAACAAAAUAUUAUAUUUUAAAACAUAAAUUGAGUAUCCAUUAUUACCAUUAUGCAACACUUUUAGUUUUCCUCAUGUCGCCUAGCGGGUAGAAAACUUGGAACAUAAUUGAUUUUUUGUUUUUGAAGGAUUGGAACAUAAUUGAUGAGGAGCUACAAGAUAACCUUUUCACUAAAAAAAUUCAAAAAGAAAAGAGAGAGAGCUCCAUUACACGUGAAAAAGAAAAAGUGGAUCCGGAUAUUCGUAAGACAAAUAGAUUAAAAAAUAAUUCCUGGCAAAAAAUAAAAUUUACUCAAAGAUAACUAUAUUUUAAAAAAUAAUGCUGUGUCAAAUAAUUGGAUUUUGGAAUAUUAUCAUAUCUUAAAUAAAGUUUAUAGAACGAUUCAUCAUUGAUCAUGUUUAAACUCGAUUACUUGGUUGAAGAUACAUUCCUUUAACAGUAGGGUAACAAAAGUAUUAAAUAUGACCCCUAAAAAAACAUAUAUUAAAUAUCAACCUAGUUACCGACAGAGAAAGAAAGGAUUACAUGCAACGACGUGCUCAUAAAGGAUCCAACGGCCACAAUUUGAUUAGAUAUUGUUGUCAAAAAUGUGACCAAGUAACUACGUGGUACAUGCACGUCACAAAUGGUAACAAAUGCAAAAGUCAAAGUAGAUUCACAUCAAUCAAUUCCACAAUACGUGUCCUUUGUGUUUGGUUUGUAGUUUUCUGUGAAGGUUCCCAGUUUGAAUGAAUACUUGCAAACAAAGUCCAAAAAUAUUGAUAGGGAAACCAUAGAAAGGUUAUCGAAAUUGAAUUUUAAUAUGUAAUAAUACGUACAAAUUUGUGUUUUAAGAUGUUACAAAUGAACGAAGAAACAGAAUAUGAUGCUACCAUUCACAUGCAUCAUGUGUUUUUCGUGCUUUUUUCCUUCGCACUAUAUAACAACAUUCCUCAAAAUGAAUCAACUCGUUUGUUCAAAUUUUGAAAAAUUCGUGAAUGAGACUACGUUGAUUCGGAUAGCUUGGAUUAUUGAGGACUGUUAUAUAAAACGAAAAAUGCCUCAUGAAUUAAUCUUUAGAGCCAAUCAAAUUUGCUUCCGGGCGGAAAACACGGGGGGUGGGAUGUUAAGUUGUGUUGAUAUAUUUUUCAACGUCAUGUGAUAUACAUCUUUGGGAUGAUUUCGCUUUCCCUUUCUAGCUAUACAUAUCAUUUCCCUUGCUGAUAAAUUUGAGUAGAUUUGUUUCGUUUGGCAUUUAGUAAUUUUGAGAUUAUGACAAACAUUUUUGAAAGUACAAGUAAAAAAAUGCUAUUUUUUUUUUCAAUACUAUCGUAGAAAGAUUAAACUUUAGAAGAAAUUACACUUGUAUUUUUGGAUAGUUUUAAAUCUUUAAGAAGUUAGAAUUUUGUUAAAAAAUUUAGCUUGAUAACCUUAGAAGUAUGGAUUCGUGAUGACUUUUGUAAUAUUACUUUUUUUUGUUUUGUUGCAACGUUAGAUUUUUGAAGUUUUAACAAAAAUAACAAUCAAAGUAACAUUGUCAUUGUGAUAUCGUCAAUUAUACACUAAUUUGAUAUUGAUCCAUCAUCUGAUAUGAAGACGUACAUGCAUGAUGUGUCAAAAUAAUUUUUAUGUCAAAAUAGCUUUGGUAGUUUCAAAAUCAAGAUCAUUAGUUAAACUUGAAUAAUCUCUCCCAUCCAAAUGUUUUUGGAUCUGAUUUUGUUGGAACACUCAACCUCAAAGAUCAUUUAAUUUUCGAGGUAUUUGUUUGCAUGCUAAUUUUUAGUGAAAAAGAUUGAUGGACACCCAAUGCAUCUCUCUCUCUGGUUGAAAAUGUAUGACACGUCUAUGGAAUUGGUGGAUGAAAUGUUUAAAUAUCACCAUCCUAAUUUUUUAGAAGGAUUCGAGAUUUAAUGUUUACAACUGUGUUUGAAAAUUUUGGGGUCUUAGGGUGCGUUUGUUUUGCUAAAAAAUGAAAGACAAGACAGAACAACUCUAAUUGUCCAGUGUUUAAUUUGUAAAACUGUUUCAGGUACAUGACAACUUGGAGGCAAGGGACAGGACCAAAACUCAUAUUUUUGUCCCUCACCAAACCACAUCACAACUUUUUGUCCCACGUACAAGUUGUCUAAAAUAGCAAAAUAGUUUUUAUUCCUCAAAAAUCGUAUAAAACAAAAAAUUACUCAAUGCCAUAAAAAAUUUGUCAUGUGUUGUUCUACCUUGUGUUGUAUUGUUCUAUCUUCUACUGUUCUGUCUAGUACUUGCUGUUUUGCAAACCAAACACAUCCUUAGAGUUUUGACAAGAUAAAUUAAUUACUCAAUAAAUCUAAAAAAAUCAAAUAUUUUUUAUAAAUAGGACCGGAAGGAAUACUUAAUUGUAUGCAAUGCCUCCCAUGUUUUUCGGUAAUGACCAAAUUCAAUUAGCUAAGCACUUUUCGGGAUGAUUUCUCCCGCGAGCAAUAGCAUUGCUAAAAAAAAUAUACAUACAUAAACUAUCAGUUUCAUACUAUUAAUCUUCUGAUUUGUUUUAGCCACAAUUUUAUAAUCAAGCAUUCUUAACAUUUCAUUCUUAGUAAAUAAAAUCUUUAAUUUACUAAAUCUGUUGAUGAUCUUAGAUAGAUUUGGAGAAAAUAUUAAAAAGUUAAACUAUAUUUGUAUGUAAAGGAGUAAAUAAUAGUUUUAUCAAUGUAAAAAAAUUAGUAAAUACGAUUUAUUGGGUCAAUUAGCUUAAUUGCAAGAAUCACAUCCUUUUUUAGUGUUCCUUUCUUUUGAGAUAUAUCAGGAAUUACUUAUAUAUGAAUAGAAGGCAAACGAACAAUAAGAUGCGUCGAUAGAUCUUUUUGAAUGACACAUACCUUAAACGCAAAGAAGUGAGAAAUCACAUACAUCGAAUAAUUCUACAACUAUCAAUUAAGUUGUGCGCACCAUUAAUUGAUGAUUACACUUCAAUCAACCUUUGGAAAGUUGUUACAAUGUUAAUUGAUGAUUACACUACAAUGACACACUUUUAAAAAAAUUGUGGUACACGGUUAAUUGAUGAUUCCAUUACGAGGAGACUUUUACAAAAGAGGAAUGUUAGCAACACUCUCUUUUGAACACUCUCUCUAGCACUCACUCUUUUCUUGAGUGAAAUUAAUGUAUGUCCCACCACUUUAUGUGAGUUGUAUUUCCAAAGUGUAGGUCCUACAUUAAUUUUAAUAAAAAAAUGUUUUACGGAAAAUGCUAAUCCUUCGAGGGGAUGGGAUUGAAUGAGAAUUUUAAAGGGGUAACUUUUGCAUAUAUUUGUUAAUUUUUUUAAGUGUCUUAUACUUAUAUUUUGAGUACUGCUAUAUUGUAUGAGAUUUAUCAACGAAAUUCAUGGAAUGCACACUUGUCCAAUUUUUAAGGAAUAAAAAGAGGGUUAUGAAGUUGUUUAACAUAAAUCAUGGAGUAGUGACCAAUUAUUCCGAUCCAUAAGCAUUUUCAUUAUCAUUUUACGGAUUACAUAGGAUUGUUAGCUUUGUGAAUUUGGAAUAAACUGCAUUCGUCAUUUUUCAUUGUGUGUCUCUCUCGUACCAUCAAGCAUUAUCAUUUUUUAGAUGAGUGUUUUUUUUUUGAAGAAAUCCUUACACGAUUUUUUAGGGUUAAGGCCUACUGCCUUAUGGUUUAUAAGGCCAUGCUUUGGAAGACCUGGAUUCUAUAGCUACAGAAUUGUUCUGCAGUUGUAGGAAUUGUUAUGUUAUAUUUCGAGAAAAUCCCAUUCUCCAAUGAUUUAAACACACCCUACUUUGGACCACUUCAUUUGUUUUAACAAAAAUUGGACCACUUCAUUGUAUCAUCUAUCAUGAUCUCGGUGGAAGGUCUCGUUCUCUCUCUCAUAUUUAUUGUACCACUUUAUAAAGAAUCCCAGGAUUUUCUUAAAAGAAUCCAUGACAUGCUUUAUUGGUGUUGACAUCUCAAAUUUCAUUUCAUACUAUUUUUAAGUAAUUUCACCACCGUAAUGACUCAAUUUUAUAUAUAGACAACCAUGUUAUGAAAGUUAUCAAUAAUUUUGAAAAUUAAUAUGAAAAAUUCCUAGCUUCUACAAACCUCAAAAGUGAAAGAUUGAGUUUCAAUGGUGUUUGGUUUGCCUUUUAAGAAUUGUUUCUAUCUUCCAUAAGAAACUCUCCUUAUAGCUACAAUUCAUAGCUUUUGGUUUUCAUAGAAUCAAUUCUACGUUAAAUUUUAUAUUUUCAUUAUUACAACCUAUUAUUUUCCUAUUUUGCCCUUUAUCAAUUCUCCUUCUGUUUGCUUUGUAAUUAACUUGAUGAACCAAAUUUAAUCAGAAAACUUAACGAACCAAAUUAGCCUCCGAAAAAUAUUUAUUGUCAUGAGUUACCAAAUUUUGGAUUUUCUUUUACGGUGUCCCCAUUCAGAUUUAGUGUAUUUUUUCCUUUACCUUUCUUUUACGCUAUAUUUUAUCAUUUUUAGCAACUAACUUUAAUAUUAUUUAACUUAAAUAUAUUUUAUCAAAAAAAUGAAAUAUAUGAACAAAUAUUUUGUAAAAAAAUUAGUUUAAUGAUCGUAUUUAUUAUGUUUUAAAUUAAUAUAUAGAAAAUUUAUUUAUAUUAAAUAAUAUAUCUACAUUUAAUUGAAUUUAGUUAUGUCGUAAUUAUACAUUUAAAAAUAAUUUUGAUAAAAAUUAUCCAAACAACAUUCAGUUUGUUUAAUCAAUUCUACAUUAUUGUAUCCAAAUAUAAACUAAUUCUCUCAAAAUUAAUUCUGUCAUAAUCAAUUUUAUCCAAAGUUUAAUCAAACGCAAAGUAACUUUUCCCAGAGCCAGUUUGUUCAUGUGUAUUUUUCAAUAAAGUGAUUGAUAUGGGAUUAAUAAAUAAAUAGUAACCAUGCACGACGUCAUCAUAGUCACAAUAUAUAUUCAAUCAGCAUUGUAAUGUAAAGGUAUAAAUCCUAUUUUUACGCCAUACUAUAAAUAGCAAAGAUGUGACCAUACAAUGUAAAUUUGAUUUUAACCAAAAUAUAUUGCAUGCACGCAACACUCGAUUAUUAUCAUUAAUUAUGAAAGACAAUCAUAUCCGGUAUACUUUGAAGGUGCCAUGCACUCCAAAUGAAGGAAAAGAAAUGAGUAUAGGCAAUGCUUUAGCACAUGGGGACGAGUAAGGGAUUUAUCUAGAUAGAUGCUGUCCUUUUUCCUUUCCCUCUCUCAUGCAUGGCUCUUGAAGUUAUGAGUGCAAUCAUGUGCAUGUCAUGUACAAACAAAAUCACGAAUAUCAUAUCAAAAGAGUAACGAAAUUUGUAUAAUAUAUGAUGACAAUUUUGUUACUCCUCUGUUCCGCAAUAAAUGACAUAUUUGAAUAUGUGCAAUUUUGAUCUAACUUAUUUUGACCAUAUUUUUCUACUAAUAUACAAAGAUAAAUAAUAUCAUAUAAGAUGUCGUUAGAUUCGUCUCGAUGAGUAUUUUCAAAAUAUCAAAUUUUCAUAAUUUUUUCCAAUAUAUUAUUCAAGAUAUUUAAACUCAAAAUUACGCAUUGAUAUGCGUAAUUGGAUCAACUGUGUCACUUAUUAAGGGACGGAGGGAGUACAAUUUUUUUUAUUGAUAAAAAACAAUAGAAAAAAAAAAAGAGAUGAUAAGAACAUGAGUAUGAGAGAAAGAGAGCUGUUCAAAAGUUAUUACAAAAUGAUUGUACAAAUAUAAGUGUAAAAUACUUGGUAAUAUCGUUUCACCUACGGUGUUAAGUUGGUUAUUCAAUUCUUACAAUGUUCUUGCUAGAGAAAAUGCGAGAACACUCUCAUUUUAAGACAUUUUCUAUCACUUAUUAUUAUCUUAUAUGAUAAAACUUAUAUAAGUUUCAUCACUUUACAUAUGAUUUAUUUUUAAUGUGUGAAACUCAUAUAAGUUUUACACCAAUUAUAAAAGAAUGAGUGUUAAAGAGAAUAUUAAAAAAAUAUUCAUAGCAUUUAUGGUUCUAAUAAAGAGUACUCCUAGUAUCUUCGCUGGACACAUGUGGUAAUUGAGAAAAUGAAAACGAAAAUAAAAAUUAUGCAUUAUUGAUUUUCUAUUUUAAUUAAAAUAAUAUUUUAGUCCAUUCAUUUGUUCUUCUUGUUUUUUUUUUUUUUUUAUUUUACAAAAAGAAACAACAUUCAUUCAUUUACAUUGAUAUAGUAUAUUAAAACCAAGACACAAAUUUAAGAAUUAAACUCAAACCUUAAACGACUAAUAUUGUGAGACGGAGAGAGUAUUGCUAAAAAUGAAAAAAAAUGAUGAAUCUGCAAACAAACUCAUAAUAUCUAAAUGUAAAUUUUGAAUCUAUAAUCAUUUUAAGCUAUGUAAAAAUGAAAAUUUUAUGAGAAGAAUGUAGUAACAUUUCUUUUCUAACUCUAUUCUUCUAAGGCCUUCACUUAAUCUUCAUGCGAAUAAAAACCAAAAUAUUUUGAUAGUAAGAAAUCGUAUUCUCCCUUUUAUGUAUUAAUAAUGUUUCUCUAAUCCGUCAGAAUAAUAUGAGAGUGAUAAUUUGGAGUUCGACUGUGAAGUAAAUAUAAUUGACUAAAAAUAUUUCAUUUAAGAAUUAAACUCGAGUUGUUUCGAAUGAUCUAUAAUUUGGUCGAGUUUAUUAAUCACUUGAACUCAAUUUUUUUGGUGGUGAUUGAGGUUUGAGCCUCAAACCUUGUUUAUAUUAUGUAUUGUCUCUACCAACUCAGCCGAACUCAUGAGGAUAAUCAUUUGAACUCAAUUGUUAAUGGAAAAACGUUUCUUUAAUUAAUUAAAAUUGUUUCUAUUAAAAUGGGAGCACGAUAAUUGCAUUAAUAAUGAAAAUAAAAAAGUACUGGUAUAAUUGAACAAAGGCCCCACUGUAAUUUCCUCAACGAAUGAGAAAGAAAAACAUUAUCCGAUCUAUUAUUGCUAUGGGAAGGACAAGGUACCGGGCAUUUAUGAUAAUUAAUUAAUUUUGCCUUUAUUUAGGGGAUUAAUUUUGCUUUGUUAUGAGUACUUUUCAUAGAUUUACAAUAUGCUUAAACAUGGAAAGGAGAAGACUAACGAGUGUCCCAAAGAUAUUGAUUAAGCAUACAAAACAAAUAAGUUUUCCUAAAAAAUGUGCAUAACAUCUUAUAUUUUUAAGACAAAACUUAUAUUACUAGAUUCCUUAACUAUUGCUUUUGGGGUAUAGGUUAGCAAGAUCCAAAAAGAAAAUAGAAAAAAAAAAGUCAGCAACCAACUACACAAAUGACGACAAGGGAUGACAAAGAUUACACUUUUGAGUAAAUUUAGGAAUUUGCACUUUCCACUUUUUCAAUUUCAGUCUUUUUAUACCAUCUUGGAUAUUACUCCAAUUUUUACCCUUAACCCGGCAGCUUUAAAUAGUCCCUAUUAGUAGCCAUCAGAUUGAUAAAUAGAAACUCAUUGAAUUAAUUUCAACCCAGCAGCUUUAAUCAAAAUUUCGUAUAGUUUGGUGACCAUAUUUAAUAGGUUUAACAACAAUUUUGGCCCCAUAUGUUUUAAUAAGUUGCAAUUUUGGUUCUCUACCAGAAUAAAAUACAAAACCGUCCCUUAAAUAUUACCCUUUUGCAGUUUUGACUCCAGACCAAUUUUGAUCAAGUCAAAGCUGAGUGGACACCACGUAUGCAUUGAUUUGGUCAAAAUUGGUAUGGGGAGCCAAAACUGCAAAAGAGAUAAUACUUAUGGGGCGGUUUUGUAUUUUAUUUUGUUAUGGGUCAAAAUCGCAACUUCUGGAAACAUUGGGGGCCAAAACUGAUAUUAAACCUAUUUAAUAUGAUGUAUACAUCCUUAUGUUUUUAUUAGAGUAAAUAGUCAAUUUCCCCUCUGAAUUAACAAUACUUCAAUUUACAAGAAAAUGAAUGAAUAUAUGCCAAAGAAAUCAUGAUUUUGUCAUGUGGAGCCUUUUCAUUCAUAUUUCAUAUUUAUCAACAAGGAGCAAGAUAAAUUUUUUACAAAGAAGGUAAAACUAAAAACCAAACAUUCAAAAGAUAUCAAGUUGUUGAAAUAAACCAAGACAAGAAUGUCAUAGCAGCAGAAAAUUGAUAUCUAUCACAUAACUUUGUAGUACAAUGUGAUCUACCGGCUUCAUGCAGAAGGUAUAUGACAUAAUCUAUUUAACAUGCUCCAACUAAUAGAUAUGACAUUUCCUGUAUUAUAAAAAUUAUAUCAUUAAUUAAGUUGCAAAUUCACAAACCUAAGCCUUGUUUCUUCUUCCAUCUGCAGAUAUUAACCUAUGAAUUUUCUUUAUGGACACACAAUUAUCAAAGACUUGUGUACUUUAUGACUGCUUACUCUAACAUAAUUACCAACUUGUGUAAAAAAAAUUCUUCUAUAUAUGUAUAUAUUUAAAACACAUGAGAGUAACAUACCUUCCAUAAAGAUUUAUAUGACCAAUAACUGCAUAAACAUACAUUCCAUGCAGAUUUAUAUGAUCAAUAAUUGUUAAUUUGUUUGCCUUUAAUAUCUUGAGUCAAGGAUAAAAAAAUAAUAUAAAUUUUCUAGUUUAGGAGGCAUUUUGCACAUAAGUGUAAAAUUUCAGGGGGGUAUUUGAUCAUAACCGUAAACAGUUAACAGAAAAAUUUGACGGAGGGAGUAAAUUGAUUAAUGUUAUGCAAUUUCAGGGGGGUAAUUGAAGUUUUGUUAAUUUCAGGGGGUAAUUGACGAAACCUAUAAUUUCAGGGGGGAAAUUGACUAUUUACUCGUUUUUAUUAUAAGCAAAAUUUCAUUUUUUUUAUAUUUAUUAAAUAAUUGAUAUAUUUGGUCUAUAUUACAAAUUAGAUAUAUUAAUAUUCAAUCCUUUGUCUGAUUGGAUAAAAUGAAACUUUGAUGGUGCUGCAAUUGGAGUACCGGGUAAUGCAGCUUGGGGUGGUAUUUUUAGAAACUAAAAUGGGGAUCACUUAGGAAGUUUUGCUUUCAACAUAGGCAAUGACAACGCUUUACAUGGUGAGCUAACCGGAGCAAUGAUGGGAAUAGAAAUUGCAGCGUCAAAGAAUUUGUCGAAACUUUGGUUAGAGACAGAUUCCAAAUUAGUUGCUUCAGCUUUCAAGAAUCCUUCUUUAGUUCCUUAGAGAAUAAGGAAUCAAUAGUUUAAUUAUAUUCACCUUUCAUUAUAUAUGAGAUUUUUGGUUGCUCGUAUAUUUAUGGAAGAAAAUUAUUGUGCAGACAAAAUGACAAAUAUUAGUUUAACUUCUCAGAAUUUAGUUUGGUUAGAUGAUGUACACAGGGAUAUCAGAGUGGAUUUUAAAAAAGGGCAAUGCGGUGCAUUAGAGCUUCCGCAUAUGCAAUAGAAAUGGGCCAGCCCGCCUCGAUCCGUUUAUGAUUGGGCCGUGAAUUCUAGAGCCUGGCCUGGCCUGUUUAUGUUUUAUUUUUAAAAUUUAUUCACUUUUUUGAUGUAUUUUCGUAUGUAUUAGUUACUCACCAUUAUUUUUUUGCUAAAAUAUGAUUGGAUGAACAUAAAAAUAUAAAUAAUUUUUACAUUAACAUUGAAUAAUAAUUAAACUCUAGAUUAUUCUUUCAAUUAAAUCAAAUUAAUAAUUUAUAAACUUUAAAAUUUAAAAACUGCAAGCUAAAUUCAUCCAUAUUUAUUAAGUUUAUUUAUUUAAAUAUUUUUUUGUUAAUAAAUUUUAAAUUAUUUGAUAAUUUUUUUAAAAAAUAUGUUGUUUUUUAACAAAAAUAAAAUGAAAUAUGGGCUAAUGGGCCGGCCCAAAGUCCGGUGGGCCAGUCCGACUCAACUUUUGUAUGGCCCAAAUGGGCUUGGGCCGAAAAAGCCCGAGUGCAUUUUUUGGUUAGUUUUUUAGGCCCGGCCCAUGAGCCCGACCCAUUUUUGACAGCUCUAAUUGUACGCAGCUUUACCUUGUUUUACACAAGAGGCUGUUUCCAGGAUAUCAGAGCGGACUUUGCUAGGAACAAAUUAAGGUCUCUCUUGUUUUCGCUUUGCUAACUGAAAGGGUUUUGGCCGGUAUAGUCUACCAUUUCCUCUUUUGUUCCCUUUUUAUUUCUAUAUUUACUAGGGGCAACCCGUUUUUUUGCUUAAAAAAGACAGUAAAAUAACAUCAUCAGUGUGUAUAUCUCUAAUAGCGACAUUACUUCUUCAGUACGACUUUAUGAUGAUCCACGAGUGAUUGUAUAGAUCAUGGAUUCUCUCUAUUUUUUAGUAAGAGAAAUGGAAUUGGAAAUGUAUAUUAUUAUAGUUUUGAAGUAAAUAAAAAUAUAAAUACACGUCUGUGUGAAGUUAUCUUAGUUAGUAAGGACAUUUAAUAAAAUAUGUAGGGGUCGGUGUUCGAACCUCAGAUAUCCUACUUAUUCAUCUUAUAAAUGUCAUUUUUUAGACAAUAAAUUACUUGAUUAAAUAAUAAUGAUAUAAUACACUUUUUUUUUUUUUUAAAAUUGAAGACAUUAAUUAUAUUUAUGGAGUAUAUCAAAAACUAUAUAGUAAUCAAGAUGUCUAUUUAUUAUAAGAAAUAAAGAUGACUUAUAAUAAUUAAGAUGUCCAAUUUGAAAAAUCUUUUAAAAUAACUAAGAUUUAUUCAAGAGAAUGAUGUCUAGCAAUAUACUCCAUCCGAUCUCAAUUAUAAGUAAAAGUUAAUUUUUUAUAUUAAUUCAAUAAAUAAUGAAUUCAAUAAAUAUUAUAGACAAAAUAUAUUAAUUAUUGAAUGAAUCUAAAAAUGUAAAUUUUUGUUUAUAAUUGAGACCGGAGAAAGAGAAUAUAGCACUUUGAACUUGAUCCUUUUCAUGUAACAUGUCCUUCAUUCUCUCUCCAUCAUCUCUGCUCUCUGCUUGGAUUCUAUCCUUCACCGUACAAAGGGGCAUGAGAGAGAAUAGAAAAUUGUAGGGUAAGAAAGAGGUAAAAGAGGAGAGAAGAGAUGAGAUUGAUAGAGAGGAUAUGUAUGGUGAUUGAGAGAUGAAAGAAGAUAAUCCAAAUCAAUGUUCUUACUAAUACAGUGCGUGGUCGUCAUGUCAGAUUAAUAAUACAGUUCAUGCACAUGAUAUUCAAUCUUCACAGUAAUAACUUUUGUAUUUUCUAGACAAUGUUCCAAUCAUUUUUUUCAAAGAGUUGAAAGUUUAGCAUAGAUAUAAAUUAGAAAACUUGGUUGAAAAGUAACAAUCGAGCAAAAUAAUUCAAAAUUAGCAGCACAAGUCCUGCAACAUUAUGACAUCGUCUACAAAACAAUAGUAAGAUAUUGUUAACUAAGAUUUUCAGAAAAUAAGAUUGCCUCAAAAACUAAAUAAUUAAGAUUUUACUCGCAUAUUAUAAAUCCAUAUAUAAUAUUUAUAUCAUAAAACUGUUGCAUUAUAAAACAGCAUUUCUUUUAAUUUUAGUUUUUUUGUACAUAAAAAGCAAUAAUAAACAACUCAUUAACUGUACCUUAUAAAGGACCACACAUAAUGUCUCUUCACAUGAAAACGACUGCUCUAUGAAUUGAUUUUUUAUUUUUUUUAACAAAAUUGGAACUAUCAUUUGCUUGAUAUCUUGUGGAAACAGACUAAUUUUUAUAGCUCUUUGGAAGGCGAAUUCAACUCUUAGUAUGUUUGUGGGGCAUUAUUUAACCCAGCCGCUGAAAAUAGCAUAGGGCUGUUGAAAUGAAAUACACUAUCUGUUUCUCAAGUUCAUUUUAGGCAGAACUCCAAUUUGAAUUCUUACCCAUAUUAUUGAAAACUAUAAAACAAAAUCAAUACAAUGAUGGUAUCAUUUAAGCAACAAAAUGCACAAACUACAAAUACAUUAGCAUAUGCUUUACAUUAUCACUAUUUAUACAACACGGUAAUCGGCUAUGACCAACCCGUAAAUGUCCAUAUUAGUUUUGCUCAAAUGCAAUUGUAGUUUGGUCUUAGCCUGUCUAGGCUAUAAGCGCAUACAACCUUAAAGCCCUAGGAGAACCAGCUCACCUCUUGCCGCGAGGUCCAGGCCCGCCACUUCUUCGGCCAGGAGACCGAGAAAACUGAAGGCGCAAGUAGCUUGACUCAGGAUUGAUUUCAUCAACUUUAUAGCCUGCAUAACCCGUGAAGAAAUGAAUGCAUAAUUAACAGAAAAUCAUAAACAACUUAGUUCAAAUCCUAAUAGAGUUUAUCAGCGACUAAGAUACUUUAGGAACCAAUAAUUUGCAGAAUUUUGUAGUACAGAAUACAGAGGAGGCAGACACACUAAAGUGAAGGAUGAUAAUUAAAUCAGAAGUGAUGACCAUGAUAUUGAUAGUUAAUAUAACAGCAUCCCAGUAUGUGAAAAUUUAAUGUACUUUUGACCUGGAAUAUUACAAACAGAACCAUGGAUGUUGGGACCCAUUUUCAGUUUUAACUGCUCUAGUAACUGUAAAGUAUUGGUUUGAAUCAAGCUCUACAUCACAUGUAACUCACACAUUCAGUGUGACAAAGUGAUUUACAACUUUCCAAGUUGUAAACCUCGGUAAAUCUAUGAAUUAUUACUUGUUUAUAAACAUUAAAUUCAUCACCACUUAAUAACCACGUCUUGAUUCAGCACCAACUACCUAGGUGCAGUUUUCAAUUUUUACAUGCUCUAUCAGGUUAUAACUUAUAUAGAUGAUUCUCUAUUGGACAACUUACAAACCCAUAACAUGAAAUCAAUUUCCUUUUAUAUCAGCAUGUAAAAAGAAGUGAUACCUUGCAAGGCGCUCAAGGCAGUUGCUGCACAAGCCGGAUUUGCAAAAUCUACAAAACAAAGGAUUAAAGGAUCUCCACCUCGCUGCAAUAAACAAGCGUUUCAGCAUAAAGAGCACAACAGAACUUUAAACCAAUCAGGUGAUAAACCAAGACAAAAGAGGACAAGCAACAACUGUUACAAACAUGCACUUACAUGUUUGGAUUCUUUGGCCACAAGUCUUACUUCUCUAUAUCCGACAAAAGGGCGAAAAAUAUCUAAAUAUGACGUUAAGGAACUUGAAUAAUUGAAUUAAAAUGAAUAAAGCCCAGGAGACACUGAUUAAAGCAUGAUAAUGCGAUUUCUAAACAGUAUCAUAGAAAAAAAUAAAAAAGAUACGAGCCACUUCUCUUUUUGUGCUGUCAGAUGGGAGCCCUUCAACAUAUAAAGUACUUGAAGCAUCUCGGGGUAGUGGUAUUGUCUCAGGCCCGGGCCUGGAAACUGCAUCUAUAGGUAGCUGACCACCAAAAUUGACAUCACGCCCAUUUCGUGAAAGAUCAGGGCCACCACCAACACCACUAAGAUGCCCCAUGGCAGAAGGAUCACCCAGAGAAUGGCCUGGCAAUUCACCAACACCCCUUGCAAAUCCAACACCACCAAUUACACUAGCCUCCCCAGAAUUAAAUGAAGUAAGCUGCUUCACAAUCAAACAGGAUGAUAGUUUUCAGCAAACAACCAGUGAUAGCUAGCACCUGUGCGCACAUUAGAUGUAAAAUAAAAUGGGUUAUGAUAUUACCCCUGCACUCUGAAGGAAGCGGUCAUAAGCAGACCCGAGUAUUUUAGUGUCGUUUAGCAUUUGGUGACCAUUGUUUUGAGCAAUAUAAUUAUGCACCUCAUUGCCUGAGGUUACACCAGAAGGUGCCGUAUCUGCAACAUUACAUAAUCUGGUCUCAGAACUUCCACAUCUUUAGCAAAAAAACUAAAUCAGAAAAAUGCAUUUAAAAAGGUUUGGUUUAUUUGCAAUAGCAUAUAUCAUUGCUAUUCUAACGAUCUUAUAUUAUAGUGUUGGGUUGGGGAGAAAUGAAGAAGAGGGGAGGGAUCAUUUUGAAAUUUCCUUGUUUCCAAUUUUCGGGGAGAGAGGGAAGGGGAGCAAAAUCCUUCCAUACUCAAUUUUGACUCACCAUUCGGGGAAUCAGAGAGAAGAGCACAUAAGAAAAGUAUCUUAUAUUAUCAAGAUAUUAUUUAGAAAUAUCUCAUAGGAUUAGUUUUUUUAGAUUAUCUCUUAAGAUUAGUUUCUAUUGUAGUUAUUAUCACCGUUUAUUCCCAUAUUCAAUUAAGAUUAGGUGUCUUGUGUCCGUAUAAAUACAGGCCAUGCUUAGUUGUUUUGUAUCAUCAAAUCAAAAAUCAUGAUCUUAUUUUCCGCCUUUAAUCUUUCUCUAAUCUUUUUAUCUAAAACCCCAUAAUUUAAACAUGGUAUCAAAGAGAUCCACCGCUGGAAAAACACAUUCUAGUGAGAAUUUUCGACAAAGCCAAUCUCAAAAGCAGCUGAAUUUGCCGAUCUUCCAUGGCCCAAAAUUUUGAGCCCAGUUCUCACACUUCACUCACAAAAGCUCUCAGGCCGCUGCUUCAAACCCACAUAUCAUGUGACGCUUUCCCAGGGCUUAUGAAAUCGCUGCUGCUACUGUGCUCGCUGGCUUUUUCUAGUUCAAUUGUCCAUUUGUUCGAUAUUUGGGUCAGCAACUUUUGCUACACUUUGAUAUCUGCAAGUUGUGUCUCUUCCUUACUGGCCUUCAGCUGCUUCUUUGGUGUUGGUGGUACUGUUUUGCUAUGCCACAGUUAAUACAUGCUAUAGCUGCUACUUUUUUGUUUUGGUUUCUUUCAAAGCUGUUGUGACACCUUUCAGUUAGGGCUAUAAUGUUGUAAGCACUAGCCUAGUAAAGUUUGAAUUUGGUUUGAAGUUGUGACACCUUUCAAUUAAGGCUUCAGUUGUUGUAAGUGCUGGCCCGAUGUUGUUGUAGUUCGGUUUACUCGUUGUUCAUAAAAAUUAGCUAUGGUUCUUGCACUAGUUUCUCUUCCACAGAUUAUAUUUGAAGCAAGCUUAAGGUGGAGUAAGCUUUAGCUCAAUGGGGAGUGUUAAAGAAUAUAAGAAAAUAUCUAAUAAUAUCAAGACAUUAUCUUGAAUUAUGGCAUGGUUAUUUUCUUGUCUUUUGAGUAUAUUUUAAAGAUUAGUUUCUAUAUUAGUUGUUAUUAUCAUAAUUUGCUUUUCUAUUCAUAAGAUUACGAGUCUUGUAUCCCUAUCGCUUGGCGUUAGAGCUUAAACUCAUUGUAGCACCAAUCAUAAUCUUAUUUUAGUCUUUAGUCUUUAUCUCCUCUCUUUAUCUAAAACUCCAUAAUUUAAAAAAAAAAUAAAAAAUAAUUGAGCGCAGUAACAAAAAUAUUCAUGAUUAAAAAGUAAAUUAAAAAUUUAUAAAGAUAUAAAAAGUAAAUGAGUCAUUCCCCUCCCCCCUCCCCUUGUGAACGAGAUGGUAACCUCCCCUCCCUCAGUUGAACGAAAGAGACCCUUAAUCAACAACUGUAAUAGUAUACAUCUAAAUACGCCACGUGUUAGAAAAACUCAGAAAACUAAAAAACAUGUGCCACAUACUGCCAAGCAAUCUAACAACAAACAAGCAUGCUUUACGAACAUUGCUAACAGCUACAAAAUUGUCAGUACAACCAAAAUUGAUUGAUAAAUCCAGCAUUGCUAACUGACUAUUUGAACAUUUGAAAAAGAAUCUACGAACAGAACAGAAUUACAAAAUAACAUGAACGGAAUUAACAAAAACAAACUGUAUCUAUAAAAAAUCAGGGACAAAUUCCACACAUUGUCCAUGAACUACUCAUCACACUCUAGAUUCUAGAUAUAGCAAAAUAUCAAAAUAAAGAAUAUAUAACAGUUAACAAAUCAAGCAUUCCGAAUGGUCAUGUAGCUAGUGGUCUCCACAUAAAUGAAUUCAUAUAAAUCCGUAGCAAAUUUCUGCACCUACUUCUGUUUUAACGAAAAAUGAUUUUAAAUUAAAUUCAUACAUCCAAAUUUGGUGUAUGAUAGAACACUAUGGCGUCAUUUGAUCCAUGUAGCCGACCUCACUUAGUGGGAUAAGGCUUGGUUGUUGUUGUUGUAAUUGGAUGUUCUUUCUUUCUAAAAAUCAAGGGGAAAUAGCUUCUGUAACUUGUAAAAUACUUUUACAAAGGGCUUUAUAAGCACUGCAAAAGGACGAAACAAACUCCCUCAAACCAGCAUACUAAAGUUUGGACACGAUGGGGUGAGCCCGGAAACUUUUUUUUAAAUGGCAGAUGUUAGUGGUUAGAUUAAUAUUUACUCAUUUGUCCGGGUUUGAACCCAGAACCUCCAACCCCUUAUCCCUUAGCUCAAACCAGUUGAGCUACCCCCCCUGAUCUAAGAUAGACGAUACAAUCUUAGAAUUUAGGCAAAAGGCCUAACUCAACCCCUACAAAACCAUCUUGUAAGGUGAGGAUUGCCGAUUGCAAAGGCCAUAUAAAUGGGCGAUGUAAGACUAAAUCUACUCCCUCUAGCAAGCACGCUAAAGGCUUGUACUACAGGCAAUGAAGAAAGACAGAACGAUUCAAUUACAGACUGUUCGACCAAAAUAUUAAAUAGCAUCUCUUAAAACAAAACAAAAUGCAUAAAUCAAUAUUAAAAUGUUGCUAAACUUUGGAAAACAUAAGAAAUGAAAUACGAAAAGGCUAAUCGAGUAUAGUAACACUCAGUUUGUCCUUGCAGGCAGUAUAGCGUAGCAGAAUUUGAACAAACAACUAUUUUCUGCAAUCCAGGUAAUUCGAAAAUUUUGAUGCCAACUAUCAUUUAUAUAAAUCACAUAUCAGAGAAGCCCACAAUCUAAUAAAUUACAAAGACCUAACACUAAAUACCAAUAACUUCAAAGAUUGAUUUUUUGGAAAAAUAAAUUACAGAAAAUGGGAUUAGAGCUGCUAACCAUAUUCAGUACGGGGUCUUUUGAGCAUGCCGCCGGGAGGAGGGAGAUGCUGCUGCUGUCGAUUCCAGAAGCCAUCUGCCAUUGCGAGAGAUCAAUAGAGUGAUCAGAAAAAGAAAUUGAUGAUGAUGGAGUUGAUGGGGAUGGUGGUGAAUUGUAAUGGUGUAGAAGAUAGGGCUAAUUUCGAAUUCAGAAACCCUAAUUUGGAAAAUGAUAAAACCCUAAUUCUUCUUCUUCUUCUUCUUCUUCUUCUUCUUCUUCGUAUUCGAAAGAUCAGAAAAACAAAAUGUUCAACAGCUCCAUUUUUGUUUUUCUUCCCUAAGGUCUCUAUAAGAAAAAUUGGAGGGUAUGAAUAGAAAACUUCUAUCUUCAUCUAAUUUGGGCCAUACAAUGAAGUUGAUGAAUCGAAUUUGGGCCACAUUUGACGUAAUGGGUAACAGAAAAUUUUCGACUAUUACUUUUCCCACCAUAUGCCUUUCCUCGCGCACCCUAUUUUUUUUUUUCUUUCCAAUUUUACCCGUGGUCCGGAUUUCGUUUUCCGGAUGGUAUUGUUAGAAUUUUGCAGAUGUUUCCGGAUUUAAAAAUCCGGAAUAAUGUUUUACCAGAAGUUUUGCAAUUUUAAUCUUCAAAAUUCAUAAAAUAAAAUAAAAAAACGGAAAUAAAAAGACACAAACAUAAAAACAAUUCAUUUUAUUAAUAGGGUAAUAGGCUUUUACCCCCUGCAAUAUAGGUCACUUUUGGUUUUCCCCCCUGUGAAAUUUUUUUGUCAGAUUCCGUCCUUGUAAAUUUUUUUUGUUUUGGAAAACCCCCCUAGGCCAGCUGACUGUGCAUUUUCGCUGAUGUGGCACGCUGACUGUAUAAAUUUUAUUAUUUUUUUAUUGUGUACACGUGGCAUUUGUGAUUUUUUUUUAAAAAAAAUUUGAUAAAAAUGCUGAAAAAAUAAAAAAAUUCUGAAAAAAAAAUUUAAAAUAAAAAAUAUGAUAAAAAAUCUCAUAAAAUGAAAAAUAAUGAAAAAAAAAAAAUCAAUAUAUAUCGAAAUUUUCGAAAAAAUUAUAAAAAAAAUCUUAAUUAAGUUCCUGAAAAAUUCUAAAAAAUAUCAAGUUCCUGAAAAAAAUUUGAAUUUUUUUUUUAAUAAUUUCGAAAUAAAUAAGCUUUUACUAUUAUUUGGAUUUCGGUCUUAUAUACUAUAUGGAAAGACCGCAACAGAAGGAUUUUCCAAAACCAAAGUGCACUUUUGGAGUUUCUACUUGAAAGAGUCAAACUCCAAACAUAUUGGUGGUUGAAAGCUAAUUACAUCUUGUUCGUUUUUGAUUAUUCGUAUUGGAGAAUUAAUCCUUUACCUUGUUUACAGACUGUUUUGUAAAGUCUGUUUUUGGUUUCUGUUUCAUGGCUUUCAUAGCCUUUUUGUAUUGUAUUUAACUUUAUCAGAUUCCUCAGGCACAUCUUGUAUGUGCCUGAGGGAUUGAUUUUAAUAUAUUUCUAUUAGUUUCUUCAAAAAAAAAAAAGAUUUUUAGAAUUUCUAAAUAAAUUUUCUUAUUAUAAAAAUAACACUUUUUAUAAAAAUUUCGAAUUUUUUUCAGGAACUUGAUCUUUUUUAGAAUUUUUCAGGAACUUAAUUAAGAUUUUUUUUUAUAGUUUUUUCAUUUUAUGAGAUUUUUUUUUCUAGUAUUUUAUCAGAUUUUUUCAUUAUUUUUUAAUUUUAUAAAUUUUUCUAGAAUUUUUUAUUUUAUAAGAUUUUUUUCGUUUUUUUAUUUUAAUUUUUUUCCAGAAUUUUUGUAUUUUUUUUUUUCGUUUUUUAAAAAAUUUUAAUUAUUUUUUUUAAAAAAAAAUCACAAAUGCCACGUGUACACAAUAAAAAAAUAAAAAAUAUACAGUCAGCGCGCCACGUCAUCAGAAAAUGGUGACUCAGCGUGCCACAUCAGCGAAAAUGCACAGUCAGCUGGCCUAAGGGGAUUUUCCAAAACAAAAAAAUUUUACAAGGACGGAAUCUGACAAAAAAAUUUCACAGGGGGGAAAACCAAAAGUGACCUAUAUUGCAGGGGGGUAAAGGCCUAUUAACCCUUAUUAAUAUAUGAAUAAUACAUUACAAUAAUUUUCAAGCUUUUUAAGCUUAUUACAUAAGAUCAUAAAUCUAUUUCUAAUCUCCUAUGAGUCUAAUUCUUAUCUCCUAAGAGCCUAACCACUGGUAUGUGAUGGGACAAACCAGUAGUUUGCCUAUUGGAGGAAAACCGGAGGAGGAGGGAAGAGGAAGGCGGGAAGAAGAGAACAAUGUCCCCGAGGGAGAUGGGGGGUACUCAAACUUAUGCUCAGACAGACCAAGCUAAGAACCACACUGACCUACAUGACCCUUAGAUGAACCGCGCUUCGUUGCAGCGCAGUUCCAUCCUCAUUGACCGUUCAUACAAACCCUGAAAGUUUUCAACGAGGCCCUUAUCUAUGAAAAGCCAACGAUGGAAAACCAUGGUUGUAGAAGGAAGAAGAGGAUGAGAGGGUGGGAGAGGAUGGUGUGAGAAAUGGUGGGGUAAUUUGGAAGGCUAUUUAUAAGGAGGGGUGGGUCAAAAACGGUUGGGAGGCCAUAAAUGCAGUCAAAAAACGCGUUUUAUGACGUUUUUUGACUUGACCACCGACAAAAACGUGUGAUGCAGACCACCGGCCAUUGUAACACCCCGUUUUCCCAAUAUGAAAUUUUCUUAAAACAUUUAUCAGAGUAAGCAUCGUAAACAACGGGAUAUCAGAUAAACGUAAUCCAAAACAGUUAAAUAAUGAUUUAACCAAAUAUCUUUAACAUCGCAGCGGAAAUUAUGUCAUAGUCAUAAAACGUUUUGGCACGCAGGCCUCAUCUUAAAUCUUAAAAGAAAUUAGUUCAUAAUCAUAAACAGCAUAAAAGUCACGUAAUAGAAUGAAGCAUGCAUAGUCAUAAAGCCCCAUCCCGUUACGUAUCAGAGCGACCUAGACGACACAGUGAAGGCAAGGCCACUCACGACGUAAACAGCACACUAAGCUCGAUCACCUGCACGUUACCCACGGUCGAGGUAACAUUCAAACAGAAGGGGUGAGAUUUCAUAACAGAAUAGCGUUAAUCAAUGCAAUUAAGAAUCAUAAAUUAACAUCCUAAUCAAUCUUGAUCAUAAUCAUUUUAAACAUAAUCGUCAUUGUAUCCUUAAUAAGCAUUUAUCACGUAAUCACAUAAUCAAUCAUCAUCAACAACAUAACAUUAUCACGUAAUCACAAAAUCAAUCAUCAUCAACAAAGCAUAAUAGACAUGACAAUGUGACAAUGCUCCUAGACUCCGUAUAUGCAUGUGGUACCAAUCGUCAUCAUAAGUAUAAAUAUACUUUAAUCGUGCGGAGGACAAAGCUCCUAAUAAUCGUGCGGAGGACAAAGCUCCUAAUAAAACGUGGUGAGGACUAAGCUCAAUGAUAUGCUAUGCAUGGACUCUUAACAACAAAACAUCGUAAUCAUGUGCAUUCAAUAACUUGAAGCGAAACGUCAUCAUUUUCAUUAUAUUCAUAAAUAAACAUUGCAUACUCAGUUAAAUAACAGCAGCAGCAUAGUCAAGUCACAUAUCAGCAGGGAGAUAUCAAUAUAUCAACAGCAAUUCAAUAGAAUCAUAAUCGUUUCAUUAUAUCUCACAUAUUGCAUAAUACAUUAAUCAUGCUCAAUUAAUAUCAACAUAUCUUAAUAGCUUUACAGACUGCAUUAAACGUUAUCAUAAGGUUUCAUUACCAAUUAGGGGUUCACUCCUGAUCAAAAGGUGCGACACAGAUCGCACAACCACUCAAACAGCUACAUUCUGGACUUGCUCGCGAGGCGAGAGUUCUCACUCGCCAUGGCGAGUACCACUCAAAUUCCCAACUAAUGUUGUUUUGGGUUCAAUCCUGUCCUAAAAUCAUUCCUAAUCAAUCUCUAGGUAUGUUUAGGCACUUAAAGGCACUCAAGGUCCAACUAAAAAGUCGAAACUACAAAAUAUGACAUGCACUCUGCCUAAGCUCGCGAGGCGAGGAAGGGUUGCUCGCCAUGGCGAGUUACACCAAACAACUCGCGAGGCGAAGGGAAAAGGCUCGCGUGGCGAGCGAUGAACUUCAUCACUCGCGAGGCGAGGAUCAUAGCUCGCCGUGGCGAGCGAUGAAUGUCGCUACGGCCAGGCUUCCUAAAAACACAAAAAUCCGUUGAUUCACAUGGUUCUAAGCUUGGUUUUGGUUCCAGAAUUCUUCCUAAACAUAUUCUAAGGUUAAAGGACGGUUCUUUCAUCAAUCUAAACAAGUUUUACCGUUUAUUCUCAAAUUUUAGGGUUUUGACCUAAUUCCAAAACUUCUCUAAAUCAAUCCUAACUUUGUCAACUAAUCAUCAGAAUUACAGAGAUUAAUGUUACUGAGUUAUUAGUCCCACCCUUACCUGGUUAUGAAGAAAUCGCAGCCCUCUUUGGUCUCUUGCUCCUCUCUAAGCUUUUUCUCCCUUUUCCAAAAGUUUUCACGUACAAAGUGUUUUUUCUAAACCUAGGUCUAUUCUUUUAUAUCUCCUCUUAAAAUACUUAUCUUAUCUCACUUUCUCCCCCAAAACUAUCUAAAAUAUCAAAACAGCCCUCAACUAAAUAUUUUAUAUUAUUUUCAAAUCUUUAUUCUAUUUAUCAAUAAAAUAAUUCUCAUAUCAUAAUCAAAUCCUCCAAAACUCAUAACUUAUCACGUCAUCAAUCAAAUCACUAAAUUCACCACAAAUCAUCAAAACAUAUCAAAAUCAUGCAUAUACUAUAUAAUUAUAAUAUAAUGGCCUAAACUCGAUUAAAUAACGAUUAAACGAAAGUGGGCGUUACAGCCAUGACUGAUGCAUUCCGAAUGCACAUCUGAUUUCUGGAAUAUAUUUUCCGGAUUAAUGCGAUAAUGGUGGUGAACGAGGGAAAAGUUGGCACUUCCUAUAGAGUCAAGGACAUUUCGGAAUGUAAAAUUCGGAAAGAUUCAAAGCCAUUAAUGUGGAUUCAGAGCCAUGACUGUAUUAAUGACCUAGGACUUGUUUUAGGCUAUAAAUAGGCUUCCAUCUUCAACAAAUACCUUCAUUCUUCACUUCACCUCUUUUCUUACAUUUUCUUCAAAUGUUUUCUAGUUUUUUCGGGGUGUCGAUGGUGUCAUGGUCAUUGUUGACCGUUCAUAGGAACCCUGCAAUUGCAAUGCAUUGCAGCUUGUGUGGGGUUCAUAUAACGGUCAACAAAGACCCUUGACAUCAAAGAAAUACACAGAAAAUUACAUAACAUCUGGCCCGGAUUUCUGUUUCCGGAAACACUAACAAUCUGGUUCGGAUUACGUAAUCUGAACUAGGGGUAUUUAUGAAAUUUUUGCAGGGCGCGCGAGAAGGCAGCAUGGUGGGAAAAGUAAUAGUAAAAUUUUUAUCAUAUACUCCUACAAUUUAUUAAAAAUUUCAAUUUUGUCCCUGAUGUUUAAUUUUGUACAUCUAAAUUUUUUACCAUUACUUUCAAAAUUUCAGGGUAGCUUAUCCCCACGCGAGAUUAUAGAUUUGUAUUUAUCGAAAAACUAUAAUGAACAUUUUCGGUAGUUUAUUUUUUUCGAAAUCUUUCAAUGGUUAUUUCGAUUCGUUAUUUUUUCUUUAUCUAUAAUAUUCAAAUUGAGAUUUUCAUAUUAAAUCCAGAAAAGUUACUUCCGAAAAACAAAUAUACACUAUAAUAUAGAGAUGCAUGAUUAGUGUUUUGAAAGAUUUUAUAUCAUAAUUGAAAAUGCAAAAUUAGAUUGUUGCAGAAAUGUCCUUAUAAAGUGUUGUGACUAUCUUAUUGGUGUUAAGAUUUUAUAUCAUAUAUUGAACAUUGUUAAUGAUUCUUAAACAAACAAUAUGUAAAAGAAAAUACCAACAGUUACUCACAAACAAAGUGUAUAUAGUGCAUUGAAGUGUGAUGGAGAAGUAUCUGGAACACUAUUAUGAUGUUAUCUCUUGGUUAUAGGUGGAAAAUCAGUGAUGGUAAUGAUAUUAAUGUCUGGAAAGACCUAUGGAUCCGCACACGUUAGAAUUUGCUGCCUUCCUCAAUUCUCUCAAACAAUUUCUUAAUAUGAUUGUCUCUCAGCUUUUCAAUCCAACAACCAACACUUGAAAUCGUGACUUUAUUGUUUAUAUCAUGAACAAUGGACACACAAGAUACAUAUGAUAUUUGUAAGUUACUUUUGCACUCUGAAACUCAUUUUGACACAAUUAUUUGGAAAUUAUGAUAUUCUGAUGUGAAGCUACUACUCUACAUCAAGCCCUCCAAAUUGCUCUUGACUUUGGCCUGAAUCGGGUAGUAUUCGAAAGUGACUGUCAACUAGUUGUGAAUAUAAUCCUUAAUAAUAGCUCCUAUAUGAAUGAACUAGAAAGUUUACUCUCUAAUUGUAGGACUUUGCUUUUAUCUAAUACUAGUUAUGCUCUAGCUUAUAUUAAGAGAUAAGGUAAUAUAGUCGCUCAUAACCUUGCUCGAGCGUCUAUAUUACAUGCUAGUCCCAGUAUUUUCUCUUAUCCUUCCGAUUGUAUUCACUAUAAUAUUUUGGAUAAAAUCAAAUGAGUUACCUUUAAAAAAAAAAUGUAAUGUUUUCCUUGCAGGUUAAGCUGACCCACGUGAACAUACCAAAUAAUUUUCAGAAGAAAAAGUGACAACGGUUAUUUCAAGCCAUCGAAAAAAUUGGAAAAAAAAUAAUAAAAAUAGUGAAGAUUUAAUUUAAUCUUUAAAAAUCUGUAAAAAAAAACUUAGUCCUAGAGAAGGAAAAAAAAGGAACAACUCAAUUUCUAGUGAAGUUGCAUUCAGAAAAGGGACAAUUAACGAUAAUUAAAAACUGAUACUUUAAUCUCUUGACAAUAAUAAUAAAAAGAUAAUUUGAUUCAUGCAUUAGAAAAUGUCACUUCUACUACUGGUACCAGCUAUGACUUCGGUACCCCUAAGAAAAACUAUGACGUUAAAAAUAUAGAAAUUGUCUUGUAAAUUCUAUUACAAAUCCUCAAAAUAAAGGUUUCUCUCAAAUCUCAUAUGAAGAGUCUCUCAUCUAAUUCAUUUUUUAUUGAUAAAAAUAUAUCUAAAAUAUGUUGAGGGAUAAGAUAACACACCGUGAUGGUAUUUAUAUGUUUCAAUAGAAAUUUGGAUGAAUAUGCAAUUAUAUGUGAAAUACAAACACUUCAAGGAUGAAAGAAAUUGUAGUAGUAGUAGUAGUAUAAUUUAAUAAGAUAUUGCUAGAAGAAAUAUGAUUAAUAAAGUACUAGGGAAAGAAAAUAUCAAGUACCUUUCUCCUUAGUUUGCUUCUUUUGGAAGGAAUAUAUUCUCCAUUAUUAGUUCCAAUGUAGCUACAGAACUUCCAUGCUGAUUCCAGAAUAUUGCAAGCUCAUUAUUCUAACUGCACAUGAGUGAUCAGUAGUAUAUACGAAUAUUGUUUAUUCAUUUCAGUAUAACAGUAUAUAAUUCUAUUUUCUACAUAAAAUACAAAUGGCCACUAUAGUUCCAGUAAUUUAUACAAGCAUCCUCACACCCACUCCAAACAAAAAUAAAAACAAAAGGUUUCAAAUUCAAAUCUAGAUAAAGAUGUCCAACCUAACAAUAUUGAGUUAGACUUUACAGACCAUUAAACUCUCCAUUUAUUAGGUGUUAAUCUAAAAUGUUUUACACCACUAACACAAUCAUAACUAAUAAUGUAUGUGACUUUAAUUGGUGUUGUGUGUGGCUAGCUGCCUGUGAUUCAUGAGGUGCUUGGCACAAGUUCUAUGUAAAUUAAAGGCAAUGCUGAUUUCAGUUUUGAAAGGCCAGAAAAAUGUAAAUCUUCGGAAACUAAAAGAGGGGACUCUUGUGAAACAGUUUGUGCCUUUUUAGGAGGGAUUCUAGGGGUGGAAAACAUGGAAAAUGCCUCGUGAGAGUGAAAACCAUUGAGUGAUGAUUCUAAGAGUGUAAAAAAAUAUAAAUUUUUGGGAUGUUAUUUGAACAUUGAGAGUUAAAAUUUUUGAUCGCUCUUGUAACUCUCUUGAUUAAGGAAAAAGAGUGAGAAAAUGGUCGAAAUCAAUUUGCUUUUGGAGAGCUUAUGGAAGCUAAUUUUUUGUAACUAUUUGUAUCUUUUUGUAAGAGGAUUGCUAGCAACAUUUCUUUUCAACACUUUCUUAAACAACCACUCUUUUAUUGGAUGAAAUCAAUGUACAUCAUACCACUUUAUAGGAGUUUCAUUUCCAAAAUGUAAGACCAUAAUUGUUUUAACACAAUUAAAGAGUGCUCAAAAGAGAGUGUUGCUAACCCUACUUCUUUUUGUAAAGACUUUUUGACGGUGGAUUGGAGAGAUGCUCUCUCUCCUUAUAUGUAGGUCAUUUUUGGACUCAAUUGGAUAAAUAAAUUUUUUGUAUGUUGUUCCUCUACUCUAUUCUCUUUUAUCUUUGUUUUUUUGUUUCCAUUGUAAAUUUUCUUUACACAUAGAUUAGAUCUAAAUUUGGAUAUUUUUGCUUGAUUUGUUUGUAUAUUAGAUAUCAUGGUCUGAUCUUUGCUCCACACAUUUAAAUUUAUUAAUACGGUUUGAGUCUGAAGUCACAAUAUCAUAGAAAUAUGUCUCUUAUUUUAGGUUGGAGAAAAUAUUUUAUCUGACCAUCGAACUUUUUUUUUUUUUUUUGGUUUUAUUUAAAUUUAGUUUUGAGUCGACACACCAUCAAUGUCUAAACUUUAAGCUCAACUUUAAUUUGUUUCCUUUUACAGAAACUUAUAAAAAAGCACUGAUUACAACACAAUCAACCCUACCAUCAUCAAUCUGUCCCUAAUAUAUGUCUCUGUUACCACACGGCAAGUGGGUCCAAUUUUGUAUCCCUCUUCCUAUUUUGGUACAUUUCGUGGGCACCUUAAUUUCGUUGUCCAAUUUAUUAUGCCAAAAAAACACAAUUCCUUAGUCAAGCUACACAUGUCUUCCCCUCUCUCUAAAUUAUAAUCGUUUAGAGUUUGUGUAUGAUUAAUAAAAAAAUGAUUAAUUAUGUUAAUUUUAAUGAUAAAAUUAAUAUCAUUUACUAAAAUAUCUUUAUUAAUUAUAGUUAGUGGAAUGGUUAAGUUGAAUGAAAUUCAAUAAAUAAGGGUAUAAUAAUAAUAAAAAAUAAUGUUGCGUUAAUAUUCUAAAGUGACAAUUAUUUUGAAAAAAAUAAAAAAAAGGCUAAAGAGACAAUUAUUGUGAGACAGAAGAAGUAGUGAGACUCGUUCCGUAAAAAAAAAUGUAGUAAUACUCAUCUUCUCCAUCAAUUUCCUCUUAUAUGGCAUUGGUUAAGGAACGUUUUAAUUUAAAAUACUGGGUUAUGCUAAUACGUGUCAUGUUAAGGAUUUCACAAUUAGUUUUAUUAAAAAAUUUAUUUUACCGUUUUGAGAAAUAAAUUGACACGAUUUCUAAUACAUAAAUUUUAUUUUUGUUACCUUAUCAUGUGUUUUUUUUUUAAGAAACAAAAAUGGAUUAUAUUAACAUCGACGGUAAAACCACUUCAGCACAAGAUGUACUAAAGGAUCACCCCACAAAGAGAACAGACAAACAAUAUUUACACAAGUUCAGUCAGUCGAUACCCAAACAUAACAUAGGGUUCGACCAGCACAUCUGAGUGCCAUGCACAAACAAUGCAUUAUUAGCCUUUAACCACCACAAAGCGUGAAAUUAAACCUUUUCUAUAAAUUGUUAUAUGGUAGUUUAGAUGUUAUUAAAUAUUCUAUCAUUACGAGCACUCCAAACCACCUAGCUUUUAAAAAAACACAUUUUUAGACAGGAUCUAUUUCAUUUUAAUUUAUAUAUUUCUAUAUGCCUCCAAAAAAAUUAUCCUUCUUUUUAGAAAAAGGUUAACAACACUCUUUUUUAACACCUUUAUUCUUACUAUUUUAUUAAGUGAAAUUCAUAUCAGUCUCACUAUUUUAUAUAAGGUUUAUUUCUAAAGUAUAGUUCAGUUGAAAAAGAAGUGGAGAUUAGAUAAAGUGUUAAAAAUAGUGCCCAUUGCAUUUAUAUAUAUAAUUUUCUCUAAGUUGAUUGAUAAUAGUGAUUGAGGUCUCUAUGACAUCACCUCGUGAUCAUUUAAUGCCCUAUAUAGAGAGAGUUUAGUCCCCAAGUCAUUGAUUCCACAUUUCUGUGUGAGACUUAGUACACCAGUUUCAAACUUUCAGUUCCUUUAGUCGGCCAUUAAUUUCCAUGGAGGCCCACAAUUCACCUAACCAACAACACUCACCCUGUAUUUAAUAUGCUCCCAAUCCUUAUACUUACAUUAAAAAUAGAUAGAUAGAUAUGGUCUCUCUGGAAAGAGUUUAUAGAAUAAGAUAUCACAAUUUACAACUCGAAUUUAUUAAUUAUAAAUUAAGUUCAAUCCAAAAGAAAACUACAAUAUAUAAAUAGCACACAUACUUCACAUUAUAAGUUGAUUUUACAAGAACGAGUUUAUUUAUUUAUUUUAUAAGAUUUCAUAUAAAAAUAAACAUACAUAUUAUAUUUCUCUUUCUCCUUUCAUUACCUAAUUCAUUUUGGCAAUACUCUUACUUUUUGUCUGGUUAAUUAGUUUCUACUAUCCACAACUUGAUGAAAACACCCUCCCUAAGGACCCGUUCCAAUGCCUCUUAAGUCACUUUUUAAUUGGAUAAAAGUAUCCUUCAAUUUUAUUUUUGUUGGAUAAAAAGUACUGUUGCUUCAUGUUGUCUCAUUUAUUGCUACAAGCUACCAAAAGCAUAGCACAAAUAUCACUCCCCAACAGCCAAAUCUUAAAGCACAUGAUCCUGCAUUUACUCUCCUCCCCCAUUUUUCCGCACCUUGUUCUUCUUCAUUAAUGCUAUCUUACUUGGUACCAUUUCCAUAAAUUCAUUCAUAUUUACUUCAAAUGCAAGCCACCCUAAUUUGCACUACAUAAAUUCCCUUCUUCAUUUAUUAACCUUGCUUCAUUAAUUCACCAUUCUUUUUAGGUUAUUGUCUUGUUAUAAAGGAAACUACACUUUGGUUGGACAAAAUGAAUAGGAUGCAUUUCAAUGUGGUACUAGUGCUUCUACUUUUGGUGAUAUAUUUUGUUGGUCAUGGUUAUGGCUCUAGACACAAUCAAGUUUUCAAAGUUUAUCCCAAAACUAAGGAUUUUCCUUCAAGUGUCCUUGGUUUGUUGCCAAAAACAAUGCCAAUUCCACCUUCCGGGCCUUCUAAGAAGCACAAUGACAUUGGAAUACAAAGCUCAAUGGGAAAACCAUAGAGGGUUAUAUAUCUUAUUCCUUCUUAUUAAUUUCACCUAGCCACUAUUCUGAUCUUAUAUAGAAAACCUAAUAGGUAAUGUAUAUGCAUGGUGUAUUUAACUCUUCAUUGUAUUUUUUGUGAUCUUUACCCUUCUUUUUAAUUUUCAUUUCCCUUCUUUCUGAUUACUUUUAUAUAAGAUCAUUUUCAAGGGACAUAAUAGAAUAAUUUCAGAAUGAGCAUAGCCUUUAAAGGGUAUAUAUAUGUAGAUUUGUCUUCUCUUCACAUAGCUUGUGAAUGAUAUAUUUAACUUAAUUAAUAUAUGAUUUGCAAUAUAGUAUCCUUAAUGUUUUGGUUCAAACUAAGAAGUGUUUAGUGGCUUAAUUUGCUUAAGGAUAAAAGAUUUGUACAAGCAAAAGAGAAAAAAAAAAAAGUAACAAAUUAAAGUUACAUAGUUCAUGUAUAUUGAUAUUUAAUUAUGUUUGAUUAUUUUUAUUAUUAUGAUCAAGUAAAGAAAAGAAUGAAGUUGCAUUGUUUAUUCUAGUUGCUUCAAAUUAAGCUCAUGUAUUUGUGUUCUAAUUAAAUCUAUGAAUUUCUAAUUAAUUUCAGUGAGAUCUAUAGUUUGAAUGAUGCAUGCAAUUAACUCACUGUUGGUAAGAGUGACCAUACAUAGAUUCUCAUAAAAUUUAGGGAAGUGACUUGCGAAUGGUCAUUGUUUUGAUUUGAUUUUUUGAUCUUACUAAUUAAAUGCCAAAUAAAUGGUUGUACGAGGACCAUUGUUUUCCUAGCUAUACUCCAUACUACGUUCCCUAUAAUUGCGAUAACUUGUAUCUUGUAGCUAACCUAAUGCCUAGUUUUUUGUAAUUCAAGUACUAGUGCUACAUAGAAUUUGUCUCAAUUACUCAUACAUGCUAUACUCGACUACUUAACAAGUCAAAUUGAAUCAUUUCCUUCCCUUUUAUCUUCUUUUUCACUCCCAACUUUCUAUCUCUCUUAGUCUUACUCUCACUCUCUCUUUCUUCAAUAUGUUUUUAUUUUUAAUGAAGAGAAUCAUAUUAAGAAAGUGAUAGAGUGGGAAGAAGAGAAAAGAGAAUCAGAUAAUCCAUAUCCGAUAAAAGUAGUUUAACAAAUGAAGUUCAUUUUAUCAUAGAUAUAAACAUGGUCAAUUAUUAUUUUUUAAGAAGUGUACAUGAAUUGCUUUUAAAAGACAUUUAAUCGGUGAAAUAAUUUUUUAAGUUAAUCAAAAGAAAAUGACAUUUGCAAAAAAAAGAUUUGAUUUUUUAUACUAUAUUAUUGGUAUGAAGUUUUCACCGUUGGUUAACAACGAUCAUGGAAGAUUUUAAUAUUUAAACCUUUCAUUACAUUUAAUUUUUAAAGGCUGAGAUUUUACUCAACCCUCUAAUCAUCGAAGAUGAUCCGGUCUCCACCUCUCGUCAUAUCUUUGCUUUCAAACCUAGAAUAUGAGCCAUUUAAACCACAUAAUUGUUUAUAUUAUUAUAUUGGUCAAUUUGAAAGACCAAACGCGCAAAGGAGGAGUAGUAAAUAGUAAUCAUGUCUUGAACUUUUUUGAUUUAGGUACUUAACUAGUCUUUUAACAAAUUCUCAAUAACAAUCUUAGCCAAUAUUUAAAAAAAAAAAAAAAAUUAAACUAAACAGUUAUACACGGAUGAAGAAGUAUAUUGUUUGGUUAAACAAUUAUUUUAUGGACAUGAACGUGUGAGACACCGUCAUUAUAGUUUAUGAAUGUAUUAAAAUUGCAAAUCUAGAGACUAAAAUUGACUAAUAAAAUACACAAUUGAGGAUUAAAUUGACUAACAAAAAGAUCAAAAGGACUAAUUUACGAGACACAUGAGAACAUGUUUGUACUUUAUCUUUGUAAAAAUUAAAGCAUUUAGAAUCCAACAAAAUUUGGAGAUCAAAAGGACUAAUUUGAUCUUUGUCUCCAAAAGAUCAAAAAUAUGAAAUAUUAUUAGAUAUCUUUGUAAAAAUAUGUUUAUAAAUAUUAAACUCUAUCAGACAAAAACAUAAAAAUUAAAGCAUUUAGAAUCCAACAAAAUUUCAUAAUUUAUUUUUGAAUUUCUUAGAUAUCUUUGUAAUAUAUGUUUAUAAAUAUUAAACUCCAUCAGACAAAAACAUAAAAAUUAAAGCAUUUAGAAUCCAACAAAAUUUCAUUAUUUUUGAAUAACUAAUAAGACCAUUACAGAGAUAACUAUUUUUAUUCAUGGAGUUUGCUGACACAGGCUAGAAAAUAGUAGAAUUAUUACACAAAAAUAAAAAUACGUAUUUAUGAAAAGUUUGAUAGAGCAAUUAAUAUCUCCGUGGACUUUACUUAGUUGAUAGAGAUUUUGCAUAUUAUAUACAAUUGUUCAUAGUAUUUCAAUCUCUAACCAAACGCAAGCAUGUCUAAUAGCUCAUGUGAAAAGAACUGCGGUUCAUUCUUUAACUAAACGUGCUUUACAUUCAGUAAGUAGAUUCUGUUUAGAUUGAAGAUUAUCAUUCUUGUAUUGAUUUUUCCAUUACCACUGAUUUGGUUGUCUAAUGAAUACAUUUUUCUAUCAAAAGAAAAUAAUCUAACACGAGCAAGUCAAAGGUGGUUAAUGCUAAAUAUUAGUAUACUUUUGGUGUAAGGGAGACAAAGUUUAAAGUAGGUUUGGCUAAACAAACAAGGAUUGUUGCUCAAUUCUACGGAUUAUUGUAACCCCCUUUGAAAAUGUAAGUGGCUUGGCUAUUUGUAAAAUUAGUUUUAUUGUAUGUACCAUACAAAGAAAAGCUUUAUGUUUCUUUAGCAACGACUUGUGAAUGUAGAUGUUUACUUCACCAAAAAAUUGAAGACAUUACAUCCUAAUGAUUUCAUUUCACACUUUAAUUCAUUUAUAAUAACAAAGACUUAUUGAUUAAGUGAAAAAGCGUAUGACUUGCAUACGAUAUUGAUCAAUGAAAAAAUAAAAAAAAACUUCUAACAAGACUUAUUUUCUCCAUAAAACUAAAAUUCUAUAAUAUGGAGAAACUUAGAAAAUGUGUUAGGACAAUUUUUUUUGGAUAAAUCUGCAAGACUUUUUCAACUUCUUCAAAUCAUUUUUCUUUACAAAUAAUUAUGUUUGUCUUUAGAUUACUCUUAAAACCAAAACAUAUUAAUCAUGGGCACUCCUCACUCUUCUCUCCCCACUUUAAAAAUAUUCCCCAAAUAAGAUGAGAAAUUCCAAUUAAAUAAUAAUUUACAAAAGAUAUCACAAGUACAUUUUAGGCAUGAUGUAUACAAUAUACACAGUGAUAAUAAAACAAAGCGCAACAGAGGGAAACAAAAAAGAACCAAGAAAAUAAUGAAGUUAUAUCCAUGAUUUUAUAUACACUACAGAAUACAACAUAUAUGUAAAGGAAACCAGCCUAAAUAAAAUGGAAGACACUUAACUUAAAAGAGAAAUUUUUAAAAAAAGGUUGAAGAGAAAAAUGAUAGAUAAUAAAAGGUGCCUGGUUCCUUCAUAUUGAUUUCCUACAAUUAUAUUCAUUGCAAUAAAAUGUGUCUAAAAGGAGAACUUUUCUCCAUCUAUUUUCCUAAAACUAUUAUAGAACAGGUGAACCAGCACUCUCUGCCCUCUGUGAUGCCUGGCUCGACGACUUGUCUGAGCUUCGAACAUUGUACCUUUCAUAUACCCUAUCGCGAUUCUCUGACCACCAAGUCUCUGCUUGAUUCUCUCCAAAUCUUCUCCGGCUGCAUAUAUGUUUACCACCAAACACAUCAAACAUGCAAGAUGACAAGUGUAAGAUAAUUUACAAAUCUUAGCUUAAAGCAACAAUAACCAUGUAUUGAGUGAUAGAGGCUAGGACAUUAUCAAAUGAAUCUAAUAUCGUGUAAUAUGAGAUGCUCAAUGAAGUACUAAAGUGGUUUAAUUCCUCUCUCUUGAAAAACAACUUUUAAGGGAGAAUUUUCCAAGUGUCUGGGUGCUUAUCAUUCUGUCCCUAGAUAUAGAAUCUCUGAGAAAUUUUCUUACCCUUUUUAUAGGACUUCACUCAAAUUUUCAACUGCAUUAAUUAUCUCUCUACUAUAAUACCCCUAAUUACUUUACCCUUUUUUUUGUAACCAACAGGUAAACAGUAAAUAUUGUUGUGGGAAUGGGAAAGAUACAUUUAUUCUCCCACAUCAAGGCUAAACUAGGAAAAUAACACAAAUUGCUAACAUAUUUAAUAUUACUAUUAAUUGUCUUAAUUCCAAUGAUUUAGUCAACAAGAUCCUAUUUAGGAACGGAGGUAGUACCAACAUCCAUUGUUGGCAUAAGAAAUAAGGUUAUUACUUAAAAAGAAAUGAACCAAUGAUUGUAACGAUCUUUUAAACACAAAUCUUUUUUAACCUACUAAAUCCCAACCAUCACACUGACAAUUAUAAAUGGUAAACUAUUGAAAGCUAUCAACAAUUAGCAGUCACAUAUAUAAGUAUAGAAGCAGAUAAAUAUAAUCUAGAAAUGUUGGAGAUUUCUUUUAUUACCUGAAACGCACUCUCCGCAGAUCUCUUGUUCCAUCACGCAUGGCAACCAGAGUUAUAUAGACACCAGGUUCAUACUGUUCAAUCCAUUCUGCCUCAACUUGAUUACUAUUAGCAGCCAAGACAUCAUUCCUUGAUCUGGAACCACUCUCAUCAUCACGGAAAUUCCCAGAAUUCCUACCAUCAAAAGUAUCCGACACACUACUGUUGGUUGCCUGAAUCAUACUGCCACUAUUUGGCAAUCUGUCAUCUCGGUAAUCAUCUGUCCCAUUAGAGGUCACAGAUGCUCGGCUUUGCUGGUAAAGAUUAGUUGCAUAGCUUCCAGUUGAAUUCCUUUCAGUUCUAUUCAUCAGAGAAGAUUCAAGGCCUAAAGAAGCCAAGCUGGAGCCACUGAUCGACUCUGCCCUUGUGUGGCCCUGCUCGCCGUUUGAGUCUGGAUGGUGGAUGCCAUUUGACUCGACGAAACCGUUACGCAGGUUCCCUGGUCUGAUGUUAUCAGUAUCAUAUGCACCAGGAGGAAGCCUCUCUGCCAGAUCUUUGAGCUGAAAAAACAAUAUGAUAUGUCAAUUAAAAACCACAUAUUUAUCUUUCAAAUUACAUGAAAAAAAUCCUUCAAAAUACAGUUCCAAGAGAAAUAAAUGAACCAAAAAAUUAACCUGUGCCGUAAGUGACUUAAUAACUUCUUUUGCAGCCUUGGAUUUGGCAGAUUCCUCAGUAGCCAGUACCAUAGCUUCUUGAGUCUUUUUUGCUGACUUUUUAAGCUCUAACUCUUGCAGCUCACAUCUCUGUCUCAGGGUCUCAACCUAAUGAGAAUUGUGUUAGAUUUCUUUAGAUACCAAAAUAGGUGUGUGUGUGUGUGUGUGUGUGUGUGUAUAUGAUAUGAGGAGGGAUGUAUUGACUCCAAGAGUAACUCCACAUCUCUAUUCUUCGUUUUAUUUAAUCUAAUGGACUAAAUUGAAGUCUUAUUAAUUAUCAUGUAACCUCAUCUUCCUUGAUCAUUUUCACAUUAUUAACAAUUGAAAAUAAUUCUUUUAUUAAACCGAUUGAAGAAAAACUGUAAAAAGUUGAGCUAUGCAGUUGAAGAGAAGAAAAAAUGAAUUCGGUAUAACAAAUUAAAUCUAAAAGGCCAUCGAAAAUAAUUCUUUUAUUAAAUCGCUGGUAGAGUUAAUUACUACUUGUAUAAGUAAGUAGUACAACAAGUUGUGUCUGAGCAAAGGAGUUUGAGAGAGAAUACACGAGAAAACUGAUAGAGAAGGAGGAAGGAGAAGGGGUAACUAGUAAAGAUGAAUCAUGUGUAAUUAAUUUAAUAUGGAGCUUUAAAUCUGACCCGCACAAUUUGAUCUAAUGGCUAUUAAUGGGUCCUCUCAUCUCACAAUAGAUACUCCUCUCACUUGAUAUAUAUAUAUAUAUAUAUAUAUAUAUAUAUAGAGGGUGUAUCAAAUGAGAGAACUUUCUAAAUGAGAGGGUGAGAGGAUUGAUUGCUAGCCACUAGAUUAAGAUGAAUGGUUAGGAUUAAACUGGUCACUAAAACACAGCACGCGCUUCGUUUUUCUUCUCUAUUCUCUCUUCGUCCAGUUUUUCCAGAAUUUGUCCAACAAUUUCUUCUUCUACUUGCAAAACCAAACAACAAUGCCGACACAAAAACAGUAUGUGUAAUUUGGUGAAUCGAUGGUGAAUUAAGCAUAUUUUAUAUUUAUUAAUCAAUUUUUCCCCAAAAAAUUAUGCACAGAACUCCAAAAACAUCCUCCAUGAAUAUCACUUGUAAAGAAAUAUAUAUAUAUGUACGAAAGAUGAAACAAUCAUUCGUUUAAUUUUACAAAGAAAGAUGAAACCAAAUCGGCACUAAUUUGUUAAACGAAAAUAAUAGCAUCGUCGCGACUUAGAGAAAGCAGAAUCAAGGGUUAUGAUUUUGUAAACGGUGGCCGGAAAUAAUAGUACCGAAAUUCUUCAUCUGGAUCGUAGAGUUGAUUUUGCAAAUCAGAAACUAUAUCUGAGGUUUCGGGAGUAAAGGAACGAUUGAAAAGGUAAGGAAUUGGAAAAGUAUGUGAAAGAAGAAACAUAACGCGUAAGAGAGAAUGGAGAAGAAAAACAAAGCGCGUGCUGUGUUUUGGUGACCAGUUUAAUCCUAACCGUUCAUCUUAAUCUAGUGGCUAGCAAUCAAUCCUCUCACCCUCUCAUUUAGAAAGUCCUCUCAUUUGAUACACCCCCUAUAUAUAUAUAUAUAAAAUAUAUUAUAUAUAUAUAUAUAAAAUAUAUAUAUAUACAUGUUUGGUGUAACAGUGCACAUGUUUGACAUGGUGUCAGUAUGUGCCAGACUCAAACAUUACAGAGAAGAAGUUCAAAAUGGAGGAAAAAUUCUGCAGUUUGAUUGACACGACGGAAAUGAGGGAAGUAUAAUAUACCUGAGAACGCAACUUCAACACUUCUUGAUUCAAAAGAUCGUUUGUUUUCUUCAAACUAUCAGUAAUGCUUUUUGAGAAGGCAAGCCCGGAGGUUGUCGGAAUGGGCGUAGCUGAACGAGGGGGGCUCGAUCUUCUAGAGAAAGGUGACACGGACCUGGAAUUCACUCCAGAUGGCGUAAUAACAGGUCUUGGAACAGUGCGUUUAAGGUCCAUAGCAGUAGACAAGACAACAUCUUUCAGCUGUAGCAAAGAUGGAGCUUGCGUGGUGUGAGCCAGAGAGAACAUAUCAGCCUUUUUCCCUUGUUUGGCUGCCUUACUAUCUAACUGCUUUAUCAAAUCCAUAUUCGAAGGCACGGCUGGCUUUGACAAUCUUAGCUCAGACUUUUCUAAUCUGUCCUUGUUUUCACCUGGAAAACGUGGCAUUGCAUUCCUCCGGUUGUUAAUGCUAGAUUCUGCAACCUUGUUCAAUUUUACAUAACAAGUAUCACAAACACGAUACAGCUUCCCAGGAUUAGGAGCAAGGGCUGCUCUUAAUGCUUUCCUUGAACUGCAUGAAUGGCAGUGCACAAGUCCACAAUUAUAACAGUUGUGACGCUUUCUAGUGAAUCCAAACGCUUGUCUACAGGUAGAGCACUGAGACUGCUCGGCACCAGAUACCCACUUAUGUAGGCAUAUGGCAG
rnacentral:lncRNA from 1 species